ACCUGCUGACAUUUGGUGGAGCCAGCUCCAAUUGCCAGAGGGGUUGUGCACUCGUUGCCUUGGCUGUACUGAUACACAGAACCAACAGAGUGCUGUCUCCAGCUGCAGAUCUUCAAGUGCGCCCACGCAAGCAAGUGUCUAGGGCUCUGAAAUCCAGAGGAGUGUACGCUCCAGGGUGGGGUAAAUGGCAGCAGUGUAAAUGCCAGUUACAAGUAAAGUGACUGCGGCAGAGGGGUGAAUAGAAGAUUCCCACCUAUCCAACAGCACCACGGGGAUACUCAGGAUCUUCUUUAAUGUCAACAACAUCAGGCACACAGCACUAACCACAUCUGAGGCUAACGAAUAGACAACCUUAUUCUCAAAAUUUAUUAUGCCGAGAGAGAGAGCAGCAAAUAUGGUUGUUUACAUCAGAAAUCCAAAGCUCCCCUCAGUUUGAGCCAUUCUCUGCUGCCUGUUCUCAUUGGAGGCAAAAUU